CCGGAUACUAACUUGUUCGGCGUCACGCUAGGUACCUUCAGCCAUCAUUAGCAAACAGUGACCAUGUUUAAAGUUCAAGUGAACUUUCAGCACAAUUUCAUCGAUUUUUUAAAAAUGAAAGCAAACUUCAUAACUUGCCCAAGAAGUCCAAGAAGUGAAAUGAUGUGACGUCAAAAGCUGUAUUAAGUGCAAGCCCGUUUUCCACAACUUGGCUCUGGCUAAUGUUUGAAGAAGCCUCCAGCACAGAAGGUUUCUUUGAUUUUGCCUGGCUUCUGGGUUCCGACUCUCUCCGACACAACCAGCACAAGUCGGCAUUGCCUCCCAGGACCUUCCAAACCUCUGCGGCUUGUUGGCGGUUGACGUCGUCUCACCUUCAACACUUUCUCUACCAAAGCGCUGGGGGAUGUUUGUGAGCAGCAUCCCAUCCUUGAUCGCAGUUCAGCAAGUUUUUCCCACAGUGGACGGAUUUGCCACUGACCUUUGCGUUGGACACGGUCAUGGGGUUCAGAGCUCCCAGCAUCAAAAGAACAGACAAUAAUUCCAAACCUGCCCUGAAUGAAUAAAUGUCUGGACGUUGCUCUUGAGGACCUCAUCGUUGACUGUCUCAGCCCUCAAGGUGAUGGAAAUGAGCACAGGCGCUGAUCCGUAGGCCUGACGGACACGUGUGCUGGCCCGUGAGCCCUCAACAGAUCUGGCCUUCUCUUCCUCCUCCUCCUCCUCUGUCAUCCCGCCGUCUACUCCCAUGGUUUCCUCCCCACGGUUUAUUAUUGCGCUAUAAUCGCUUCCAUCUGCCUCUCGGGCGACCCGGUAGACUGAAAUCAAGAACAAAAGUCGAGUGAAACCGAAAAAAAAGGAGAGACGUUCCUCGCCAAUACAAAUAAUUCUCUUCCUUCUCUUCAAGUCUCUCGUCAGGGCGAAUGAAAAUGCCAGCGGAGUCACUUUUCCCUUUUCUGUCGAGCGAUGUUAUAAUUUAGCAUGACUUGGGCGCAGCUUCAUGCACAAUUUGGAAUUCAGAAGAAAACGCCAUUCAUGUUGGAUUACAUUACUGCCGACUUGCCAUCACUCUUCGGGACAUCCUGCGCGCUCGAAUGUGUGUUUUGGGAUAGUAACUCGAGUUUUAUUUUCGUUUUUUUGAUAGAUCCAUCACGUGGCAAUCACGUUUGAUGUGUUCAUCUCGGGAGUGGGAGGGGCCUAACCCAUUUUGAAACCACACAGGACUCUUGCUCCUCUGAUCUUGAAUCAGAUUAGUCCACCGCCCCAAUUAUAGCCAAUCAGAGGCAAUUAAAUCAAAUUUGGAGCAAUUAUGGGUAAUUAGGAUGCCUUAGAGAUCGAUAGCUGCUGGGGAGAUGGCGCAAAGCGACAUGUCGCGUGUUGAUGGAAACAUGACAAUUGCUCGGUAAAUCUUUGUCCGAGACGUCACGUUUUGAGGCAAGCUAAAAAUAAACAUACGUUCACUUUGUUGUGUUCAAUUUGAGGUGGGGAGGGGGUGAGCUAGUGGAAAACUGCUGCAACUUUUCUGGUUGCUUUUCCUCUGACAUGUUUGACUGCUGUGAUUGUCAGCCAUUUACUAUAAAUCAAUCUGAGUUUUUUUUUUGGGGGGUUGUUGACAGGAGCGUAUGCGGUAAUGUUGUUUUCCCAUUUGAGGUCUGAAUCGAAACAGUAAUGUCUUUUAAAAAUGUAAAAUGCUGAGAUCA